AAAGACUUAGUCCUAACCUUACCAUUAGUUCUUGCUAGACAUAUACAUGCAAGUAUCCGCAUUCCAGUGUAAAUGCCCUUUACUCCUGUAACUGUAGGUAGAAGGAGCUGGCAUCAGGCACGCCUAUCGCAGCCUAAGACGCCUUGCUUAGCCACACCCCCACGGGUACUCAGCAGUAGUUAACAUUAAGCAAUAAGUGUAAACUUGACUUAGUUAUAGCAAACCUUAGGGUUGGUAAAUCUUGUGCCAGCCACCGCGGUCACACAAGAAACCCAAAUUAAUUGUACACGGCGUAAAGAGUGGACCCAUGAUUAUCACAGUAAUUAAGGCUAAAACGUAACUGAGCUGUCAUAAGCUUAAGAUACAUUUAAAACCACCCUAAAAACGACCUUAGCUUCCCACGACCAAUUAAAUUCCACGAAAGCCAGGGCACAAACUGGGAUUAGAUACCCCACUAUGCCUAGCCCUAAAUCUUGAUGCUUACCCCCACUAAAGCAUCCGCCCGAGAACUACGAGCACAAACGCUUAAAACUCUAAGGACUUGGCGGUGCCCCAAACCCACCUAGAGGAGCCUGUUCUAUAAUCGACAACCCACGAUGCACCCGACCACUUCUUGCCAAAACAGCCUACAUACCGCCGUCGCCAGUUCACCUCUACUGAGAGCACAGUAGUGAACACAAUCGCCCUAACCCCGCUAGCACGACAGGUCAAGGUAUAGCCUAUGAAGUGGAAGAAAUGGGCUACAUUUUCUAACUUAGAAUACCACUACAAACGAAAGGGAGCAUGAAAUAACUCCCAGAAGGCGGAUUUAGCAGUAAAGCGGGAUAAUAAAGCCCCCUUAAAACUGGCUCUGAGGCACGUACAUACCGCCCGUCACCCUCCUCACAAGCAUUAAGUCCUUAUAAAUAAUACACCCACCUGCCAAAGAUGAGGUAAGUCGUAACAAGGUAAGUGUACCGGAAGGUGCACUUAGUACAC
rnacentral:ncRNA from 1 species